rnacentral:rRNA from 1 species
AUUGAACGCUGGCGGCAGGCUUAACACAUGCAAGUCGAGCGGGGUGAUGGUGCUUGCACUAUCACUUAGCGGCGGACGGGUGAGUAAUGCUUAGGAAUCUGCCUAUUAGUGGGGGACAACAUCUCGAAAGGGAUGCUAAUACCGCAUACGUCCUACGGGAGAAAGCAGGGGAUCACUUGUGACCUUGCGCUAAUAGAUGAGCCUAAGUCGGAUUAGCUAGUUGGUGGGGUAAAGGCCUACCAAGGGGACGAUCUGUAGCGGGUCUGAGAGGAUGAGCCGCCACCAUGGGACUGGGACACGGCCCAGACUCCUACGGGAGGCAGCAGUGGGGAAUAUUGGACAAUGGGGGGAACCCUGAUCCAGCCAUGCCGCGUGUGUGAAGAUGGCCUUAUGGUUGUAAAGCACUUUAAGCGAGGAGGAGGCUCUUUUGGUUAAUACCCAAGAUGAGUGGACGUUACUCGCAGAAUAAGCACCGGCUAACUCUGUGCCAGCCGCCGCCGUAA